UGUGCUGGUUGGUGCAUUCUGUGCUAGAUCACCUCGAGAAUCUAGCACAAGGGGAGGGGCAGUGAAGGGACCGAGAAACUGCAGUAGCUUGGCUGGCGAUGCUCCCGUUUGAAGACUACAACUGCCGCCAUAGUAGCUCAUUGUUGUUGCCCCUUUCUUUCAUUACAGAUGUCAUGUUAUACGGCUGAGUGAAAUUGUAAAGAAUAAUGUUUCGGCUAUGGAGUUGAAUGAGAACAUGUUGGCACAGCAUCGGUGAUGAAAACGAAAUGUGUGUCAACUGGUUGUAAUAAAAUGAUGCAGGAGAGGCUCAGGUCACCGGAAGUCUAUUGAGGUGAUGUUAUGUAAAGUCAAGUGAAGUGAAGAGUCUGGUUGUGAGAAGAAAAAGAACUGAUUCUGGAAAUAAACCAGCUGGUUGUAGAUGCGUUGAUCAUAGGCCUAAACGAUACGUGGUCCCUUCUCUGUGUUUGUCAGGGAAGAAUGCUCAGCAAGCCAGAGCUACAUCACUUAAUUCCAUUAGAAACACAAGUGUGUAACCUUGGGCAGGCCUCUUUCUCUCUGUCUCUUGUUUUAAGACUAGAGGAAAGUCAAGUGCCUUAAUGGUAAAACACUUUGUUUACCUGAUGACUUGAAUAACAUUGGAGUGAAAAUGGCUGGAUCACUUGCUAGAAAGUAUACAAAAUAUCAUUUGAUUCUGCGGGACAAAAGUUAUAAAUGUGUUAUCUCAGGUAUAACAUGAAGAAAUUAAGACUUAUUCCUCGUUUAAUGGCUGAUAAUACAAGUAAUAACAAAUGUCGGAAGUAAACAGAAUAUUGUAAAUCAGAUAAAGAAACCUUAUCCAAGUUGAAAAUUUCCACUCUGGGAACAAGGUUGUUGUGGGGUUGAAUGCAAGAAGCAACCUUGGUCCUAGUGGCUUGAUGGAGAUUUACAGAGAUCCUGGAGAUGAGGUUGAUAAUAGUGUAGUACCUCCUCAACUACUUGAGACCACGUGCGACCCGAUCAUGAGGUCAAACCAAACCAUUAAUUAUGGAUACAACUUGUUGUUUUGUUUACCUUCAUUUACUUGUUUAGUAAACAGGAGCAGGCGAUUUCCUGCAGCUGUGUAGUCUGCUAACCUCAGUAUGAUACUUCGACGGCAUGCCCGCCUACCUUACCCGGCUCCCGGAGGGUACAUUGAUUUAAUUUUGUUACUCGUAAUAAAGAUCACAGAGAUAAGGUAACAAAGAUGGAUGAGCUAGUCGGUCUUUAAUUACCAUUUUUUGCGAUGAGUUUUGGAGAAAAAUUCCAAUGCUGGCAGGAAGUGAUGUGAACGCGAGUUGGUUUUUUCACUGAUAAAUGUAUGUCUGUAAAUCAUGCGCAUAUUU